rnacentral:rRNA from 1 species
CCUACGGGAGGCAGCAGUGAGGAAUAUUGGUCAAUGGACGAGAGUCUGAACCAGCCAAGUAGCGUGAAGGAUGACUGACCUAUGGGUUGUAAACUUCUUCUAUAUGGGAAUAAAACAGGGUAUGCAUACCCUCUUGUAUGUACCAUAUGAAUAAGGAUCGGCUAACUCCGUGCCAGCAGCCGCGGUAAUACGGAGGAUCCGAGCGUUAUCCGGAUUUAUUGGGUUUAAAGGGAGCGUAGGUGGAUUGUUAAGUCAGUUGUGAAAGUUUGCGGCUCAACCGUAAAAUUGCAGUUGAAACUGGCAGUCGUGAGUACAGUAGAGGUGGGCGGAAUUCGUGGUGUAGCGGUGAAAUGCUUAGAUAUCACGAAGAACUCCGAUUGCGAAGGCAGCUCACUGGACUGCAACUGACACUGAUGCUCGAAAGUGUGGGUAUCAAACAGGAUUAGAUACCCGAGUAGUC